CAAAAAGAAGAUCUUUGUACACGAACAGGAUUCCUAAAGAAAACGUGCGGUAAGAGUCGGAAAGAGUAACACUUGCUCUAGAGCAGGAGUAGGCAACAUCGUCACUCCAGAUAAUAUGGACUACAUCUUCCCUGAUGCUUUGCCAGCAUAAUAUCUUUAAGACCCUAGUGGGAGCCGCACUCCUGGCACCAUAAUCACUGCAGUGUGCUGUUGUAGUUAUGGUGCUUGAAAUGUUCUUUAAAAACAAAUCAAAAGAAAAUAAGGUUUUGAAAGUUAGAAGAAGAAAAAAAAGAAAGACAUGUAAUUACUGUGAAAAGCGGAAAUGUUUCAGCGAGAUUCCAUGCUUGUUGCUGUCAUUUGUCAGUUUCUGUGAACGUUAACCUGCGAGACCCUUUUCUUUUUCAGUCUCGGUGUUUGGAAUCUACUAAUUUACUCAUCCCUGGAGUCUCUGCAGUGACAGGAAUGAGGCACCCAGAGACUGACAGCAUUAACGUCACAACUAAAUGGUGACAAUUCUUCUGUAACGGACAGAGACCAUAUUGUGACAGUGAUACAUCCUAGACAGCCGGAAUAUAGGGCGAUCUUCCAGGGUCUCAAAAAUGUCAAAAACCUGGAUGGAACCACCCUGAACAUGCCGCCGUAAAGCACUGACAUUGCCUGUUGUGACGUACAGAAAAACAUCUAUAGAAAUGUAUGACACGUUCACACCAACAGUGGAGAAAAUCUGACCCCUAGAACUUGCAAUCUAGGAAAAUAAUCCGAUAUACAAUAAAUAUCUGCACGUUUGUCUGUCUGUAUUAACUGUCUGGUUCUAUUACGUUGUUUGGUAAAAAGGGACAUUCGCGAGCUCUGAUCAUUACAGUGAAAUGUAAACUGGAAACGAAUUAAUCUCGGACAAGUAACACAUUGACUAAUAGAUCAAAUGGG